rnacentral:tRNA from 1 species
GAGAGAGGCCCGCUCGCAAUGAAGGUUGCUAACCUUUAUCCCCAGGGUUGGACUCCCUGGCUUUCCUC